rnacentral:rRNA from 1 species
GCUAACUUCGUGCCAGCAGCCGCGGUAAUACGAAGGGGGCUAGCGUUGCUCGGAAUCACUGGGCGUAAAGGGUGCGUAGGCGGGUCUUUAAGUCAGGGGUGAAAUCCUGGAGCUCAACUCCAGAACUGCCUUUGAUACUGAAGAUCUUGAGUUCGGGAGAGGUGAGUGGAACUGCGAGUGUAGAGGUGAAAUUCGUAGAUAUUCGCAAGAACACCAGUGGCGAAGGCGGCUCACUGGCCCGAUACUGACGCUGAGGCACGAAAGCGUGGGGAGCAAACAGGAUUAGAUACCCUUGUAGUC